GAUUUUUUUGGGGAGGCGGGGGCAGGGUGGGGGGCCCGCCUUUGUCGGCUGUCUUGUAGAUGUGAGUGUGUCGCCACAGAGGCUCCUCUGAGGAUACCCACAGGACUCUCUUGCUCACCCCAGUGGACAGACUCUCCUUUGUCUAAACCUGGGUGUUGUUCUCCAGCAGUGCAGAGGCUUAGAAAACAACAAUGGUGAUGAAAACUAAUAGAAAUCAGGACAUGCUGAUGUCCACUUGUAACCGGCACUCAGGAGGCAGAAGCAGGAGGAUUAAGUGGUUCCAAACAUUCUUUCAUGUGAAACUCAUUUGGAGAGUUAUUCAACUACCAGGAGCAUCCAAAGAAUUUUUAAAGUUUCCAUUCCACCAUGCAGCUUUACUCUACAAGCACACCCAGGCUGGGGCUGGAAUCAGCAGCCAGACCCUGGGACUCAACAGCUCUCCCAAAGAGCACUUUGUGGGGAGCCUUGAGACACUGGCUAGCGGAUUCUCCAGGGUGAAGGCUCUCCGCAGGAGCAAAUGUGGAGAGACGGAAGAGCCAGGACACAU
rnacentral:lncRNA from 1 species